GAGAAGAGGAACUGGGUUUCCACAGCAACUGGCACCUGAGUAACGGCGGAGACGAGCUUGAAGGCAUCAGCUGCAGCCAGCACUGAAGUGCUCUACAGAACAUCUUUGAUGCACUCGUAAACUCUGGCCGCAUGUCAAAUGCUUAUACGCUGCACACGUUUCGACCUGACGGAAACAACCCAUGAAAUCUCAGAGUCUCCUCACCGGGGGGAACACGGCCGACAAUAGGCCCUAAUUAAAGCAUGCUGUGGGCUGACAGAGCCCAUUCUUCUAGACUGUGUCCCGUUUAAACUGGGCCUCCCUUCCUGUGCCAUCCACACCCACCUUACUUCACUAAUUUCAAGUGGAACCGUGAAGGCUUAAUGGAAGACCUUGGAUGACAGGAAGCAAAUGCGACCUGGUGGGUCUCUUGGAUAGUUUCUUUUGUGCUUUUUUUUGCUCCUGUGUAGUUAGUUUAAUCUUGCAUUCGAUAUUUGUGAUUUAGAGUGGUGGUCAGAUAGCGUUUGAGGUACUGAAAUCUCAGAAACAAGCACCGGUUUUCCAACAGUUCUUGUUAUCAGUUUGCAUUUCUCUGAAUCAAAUGCAGUAAAAUAAUCCUUGAUAACUGGGAAAAAAGAUUGAAUUUCCAUCACACAACAUAUAUUCAUUUUGUCAGGCCGUAUUUCACGAGCAAAACAAGCAGCUGGAUUUGGAAACUCAGUUUGUAAUCAAACUGGACAAAACAAACAUCUUAUCCUUAAUGAAAAGAGUGGGAGGGAUGCCAGCUAGACGAUUAUCAAACCUCUGCCGAAGCCCUUACAAGUACUUCACAAAAUGGUCUGACAGAUGGGCUACAGCUCAGUACCAACCCACAAAGCCACCUUAGAUAUAUUGGUCAGGCACAAACCCUACCGCAUAAACAAUGUGACGAUCACAGCCGGACCACAUCAAAUAUCUAAGCCUGUUGUCAGGUGGUGGCCAAAUGUCCAGUCCAUGGAUAUUACCUAAUGGACACUUCCAUCCCACCUCAAACCUGGGAGGAUU